CUAUUUCUUGGGCUGCUCCUGCAGCAUAUGGAGGUUCCCAGGCUAGGGGUCCAAUCGGAGCUGUAGCCACCAGCCUACACCAGAGCCACAGCAACGCAGGAUCUGAGCUGCAUCUGCAACCUACACCACAGCUCACGGCAACGCCGGAUUGUUAACCCACUGAGCAAGGGCAGGGACCGAACCCACAACCUCAUGGUUCCUAGACAGAUUCGUUAACCGCUGCGCCACGACGGGAACUCCUAUGACCUAUAUUCUAAAAGAAGUUAUGUAAACCCUGAAAAAAUCGGGUUUCCUUGUAUAUAAAAUGGAAAUAAUAAUAAUAUAAGACUUAAAAAAUGUUGUUGGGAGAAUUAAAUGAGAUAAUUCACAAAGGCAUUUAGCUUGGUAUAUCUAACUUUUUAAAAAUAAGGUGUUACUAUUUAUCAUCAUAAUUUAAAUAUUAUUAAAUAACAGUUGGGCAAUUCAUUUCUUUCUUUCUUUCUCUUUCCUUCCUUCUUUCUUUCAAGAGCCACCAAGUACAGCAUAUGUAAGUUCCCAAGCUAGGGGGCAAAUGAGAGCUACGGCUGCCAGCCUAUGACGCCGCAGCCACAGCAACGCCGGAUACUUAACCCACUGAGCGAGGUCAGGGACCAAACCCUCAACCUCAUGGACACUAGUCGGGUUCGUUUCUGUUGAGCCGCAGUGGGAACUUCCAGGCAAUUCAUCUCUAAACUGUAACUCACCACUGAUUCAAAAAGCAAGACAAUCAUGGAACCAAAAUCUUCUCAAUAUUUUUAAAGCUUCAUAAGAUUUCAAUGACUAGGAAACACAAUUUUAUUGCGCCACUCUAAUCUUCUCAUUAAAAAUUUGGCUACUGCUGUUCUUUAAGUUAACAUAUGCAGUUCAUCACAAAGCCCUAGAACUUAGUAGCUAUGGGGUAGCAGUCAUAAGAGGGUAUCUUUAGGCUCUUAGAAUGAGAGAGAGAUUAGGGGAAGUUCCUUUAAAAAAAAGUCACAAAUAACCAAGCAAUAGUUAUGGGAACUCAUUUAAAAAAAAAAAAAAAGCCUAUCUUUUAAUUGGCCAAACACAUGAAGAACAACCAAAAGUCUCCUGAAUUUAGCCCUUUCAGUUCACUCAGCCAGGGAAGUAGAGGAAGGUUGUACUAAGAUACCAAGAAGCCACAAAAGUAUACAAACUUCCUUCCUAAUACAGCAUACUCCUUGCAAUCUAUUUCCUUGCUUGAAAUUUAUUGCUAUAAAUACAGAGCAUGAAAAAUGUGAAAUGAUGCCAGUUCAGCCAUCACUUUGGCCCCAAUCCUUUGCUAAAUUUAUGCAUCUCUCUAGCUUGUUUAAAUGCCAAAGAACUAGGCAAACUUGAAGAAUAUUAUGCUCUUCUCUUUGGUAAAGAAGUCCACCUGAGCACUGCAUGCAGAUGGAGAUGAGAGCCAAGGGAAAAGGGAUAAAAAUGUUCACUUUAUAGAUGAGAAUAAUAGGUUUGAGAUCGCCAAUCAGGAAGGAUUACAAUGAAAUCAUCUCUCAAUACAAGUGAUCUCUGGAAAUACUGCAUAUUUCUUAAUGCCAUAUUCAUUCAUCUAGUCUUUGUCCAAUAAUAGAGAAAUAUACAUAUAUGCUUAUAUGUGUGUGCAUAUGUAUACAUAUAAAACAGAAUGAAGUAUGACUCAACAUGAGAAAAGUCAGAGAUGCAUGGGCCAGGCUAGAAAGCAUUUAUAAAGAAAGAUGUACCUCAAAAGAAAAUACGAUUCAGGACUGUGAUAGAAGCUGCAAAAAUCUGUAUAGCUAACAAUUCUCAAUUCUCUCGUGUUCAUGUCUCCCCCUCCACAUCUGAAGUUAAUGAUAAUAAUUUAUGCCCUAAUGGGAAAUGUUCGAGGGAAAAAAGCUACCUUCAAAACUUAGACUUGUUGAAACUAAUGAUUUUUUUCCUGAAUACAGGAAUAUCACAGCAUAACAAAAUCCUUUCUCUUUCUCUCCCUCUCUCUCUCUCUCUCCCCCUCUCGCCCUUGUUCCCUAACAUACAGGCAAUCUGAAGAUUUCUUUUGAGUUCACCCCUCUUCCCUUUAUAAUCUUAUUCUGCUUGAGGGAAACCACUUCCCACCGCAGAGAUGCGAGCACCCUGGGCUAAGGAAUCCAGAGGUACCCCACCCUUGCCUGUGGUUCUUUCAUCCUUAUAAUGAUGUCCACACACUUUGCCUAGCUACUAUCAGUUUCUGUCCAACAACACCUGGCCUCGGCAUGGCAAGAGCUCUGAGGAUCCUACAUAUAUACACAUAAGCAUGAACAGCUAACAAAGUGCUCUGUACAAAUAGAAAAAUAUCCUGGGAGUUCCCCAGUGGCUCAUCAGGUUAAGGAUCCAGCAUUAUCACUGCUAUGGCUCCGGUCAUUGCUGCAGCACGGGUUCAAUCUCUGACCCUAGAAUUUCCACAUGCCAUGGGCGUGACCAAAGAGAAGAGAAGAGAAAAAUAUCCAGAAGGAAAUACACCAUGAUUGUAAUGAAAAUUAUUCCUAGAUGGUGGAAUGGGUAUGAUUUCUCUUCCUCCCAUUUUUCUGUAUUUUCCAAAUGAUCUGUAAUAAGCUCAUAUUACUUUUUAUAUUAAAGUCUUUAAAAAUAAAUACAUGAAUAUUAAUUUUGAGCUAGGUACACACCAUGACUGUGUGCUUUGAAGGCUUUCUGAUCCCUGCCCUCAAAGAGACUAUGUGGAAAAAUGAAUCUUUAAAAAACAAAGAAUCUACAAAAACCAUUUAGGGGAGAGAAAACUGCUUAACCCUAAAUGGUUAAUGAUGGCUUCCAGGAGAGCAAAUCUAGAUAUAACUAACUGCUUUCACAGAAUAAAGAGGUUUCAGUUUCUCCAAAGAGAUAUAUGUAAAUCUGACAGACAAUUCAAUUCUCUCAAGUAUUUCUUUUCCUCUGAAAAGUCAACUUCUACUUAAUAUCAUUAGAAUGCAAUAGAUCAAUUUCUGACAGAAAAAAAAAGAAGACUUGUAUUCUUUGGUCUCCUAGCUCCCUUAAUUCGGGAAUUCUUUGGGGUCCUUUACCCAGGGCUGCUCCGAUAAAGCAGGAAAUCCACACUUUUCCCAGGCAGCGCUGGGAAUGACUCCUCCAUCUGGUCCACUAAUUAAAGGGGCUGUUACUCUUACAAGCUUCAUUCAGUACUUUCUCCUAAACAUGUCAUAAAAUAAGUAUCUUAAACGACUGCCCACUGCUUAAUCACCAAGAAACCAAUCUUGUCUGAACCCUUUUUAAAGUCUUAAAUCUAAAACUCUAGAAAUGUUUAUUAGGAAUUCUAAAUCAUUUGCAAUCAGAAAGCUUAAUAUAUAUUUUAUGAAAACUACUAAUGGAAAGAAAGACCAGGACAGCUCUGUUGCUAAAAGAAGAACAGUAAGCCUCUUGCUCUGUACAAAGCCCUGUGCUAUAGACCUUACAUGCAGUAUCUUACUUAAACUUCAUAGUAACCCUGUGAUAUAGUAAUAUUCCUUUUUUUCAGGCAGCCAGCUGUACCUUGGAAAGACUAAGCAGUUUGUCUAAGGUGACAAAAUACAGCUCCAAACUCAGGUCUUCUGGACUCCAAAGACCACGCUUCUAACAUAUCGAACUCUGCUUCCCUUUGAAUAAAAAAUACUGAGUGUUUGGGUCUUUUCAAAAGUAAAAAACAAAACAAAUCCAAAUGCACAAAAAACCUCCAGAAUACUUUUUCUCUUCAUGCUUUUAAACCACUCGGUACUAUUUCUCCUUCUUCUGCUAAGCUCACUCUCAGCCUGGCGUGAACGGAGAUGCACUCGAGCAGAGAAUGGCAGCAAGAAUGACAAAUGGGUCAGAACUUGCUUGCAGCAGGCAUUUCAGAUGCAAGAUCUCACUGGUGCCCAAGAACAAGGGUUUGAUCACAAUGUUGUGAACAGGAAAAAAGAAAGAGAUGAGCAGUUACAGGGAAGGCUUCAGAGGAGCUAAGUGGUCUCUCCUGGCUAAACAUUACAGAAAGGAAGCACUCAACCUACUCCUGCUACACUGCAGUUCCACUGGGAGGUCUCACUUUUUAAAAAGUAUUUCACACUGCAGAUAGUGCCUUACCUUACCCACUCCUGAGAAGCUGAGUCCAAAAAAGAAAAAAGUUCGGUACGUUUUCAAGGCAUACCAUCAUCUAGCCGUGCUGAGCAAAGCCCCGCACGAACACCAAAGUGACAACUUGGGAUGUUAUUGACAUGGACGUAUGUGCUCAUCUUUUAAAAAUGUGUGUGCACAUAAAUCAAAGUCCUUGACCAAAACAAAAGCAAAGGGAGGCAGAAACAGUGAACAUCAGCCAGGGUGACACCAGCGAAGGCUUUUCGUUCAUGAAUUGCUUUGCUGUUGGGGCCACAAAAGUCCCACUUCACAGAAGAGAGGCUCGUGGGAAUUCCAUCUGGGCACAUCUUAACAGGGCCUCUGUGGUCAGAGAUGAAUGCUCACAGCUACAUAUUUGCCGGGACUCCUCCCACACUUCCGACUCUCAGCUGAACUCUACAUGCCCCGCGCACCCAAGUUUCUUUUUAAGACAGCGACCGGGCUGGGGAGGGAGGCACAUGCCAGUGGAAUCUGUGAACUGUCUAGGACAAAAAUCAGAAAGUUCAAAAGGAAGAAAAAGAAAAGAUGAUCAUAUACAGUGCAGUUUCUGGCUGAAGAGUUUAACAUGGCCUGACGGCCUUGUUUUUAAAUCUAAAAAACAUGGAGAAAGAGCACGGGCAUUUGUGAAAUGGGUCUACUAUUUAUUACUCAGGAAUAAUUUCCCAAUGAGUGUCUACUUAAAUCUGAGAAAAAUGAAAUGGUCGAAGAAAAAUACCAGUUGCUCACCAAACCAACUAUUUACUACAUUUCAUUUCAAAAUCUUAAAAAUCAUAUAAAAUUUUGAAAGUUUUCUCAUGCAAUUUCCCAAUCUGUCUCAGACACAAAACCCCUGAAUGACUUGAGCAGAAUCACCCCCUCGCAGGUGCGGGAACCCCAGCCUCUCUCUAAGUCAGUCCACUCGAGGACAUCUUGACGAUUAUAUAAUGACCUUCUUCAUACUGACGGGACGUCGGUCUACCUCUAAGCCCCACGUAUUAAUCCUAGCUAUAUACCUGAAGCUAUCAAGAAUUCACCUACUCCCUCAGAGGACAACUCUUUAGAGCAACAGGGAUGUGGAUAUCAGUGCAAAGGUCUGCAAACUGCAGUACAGUGGGGUGUGUGUGUGCUGGUGUGUUGCAAGAGGGUGGGUUUUGGAGUAUAAUGAUGGGCAGAGAAUAAGAGUUCUGAAAGACAAAGAGGGACAGUAUGGAAGUGCUUUUCAAGAAUUAGUACCUGGUUCAUUCAUGUUUAUCUAGAACACACCUCACAUCUUUAAAAUGACUUUUGGUAGCAACCAAAGCAGGCCAAAUUCUAUCUCGUCAAAGAAUACACAGAGAAGGAGUCAAUGUGUGUCUCUGAGGACACAAGAAUUAUCAAAUCUGAGCAGGCGAAGGAAUUUUCAGAUUAACUUCUUCUUUUUUUUUUUUUCUUUUUUGUCUUUUUUGCCAUUUCUUGGGCUGCUACCGAGGCACAUGGAGGUGCGGCCCUAGAAAAGGCAAAAAGACCAAAAAAAAGAAAAAAAUCUGUUAAAUAAGCCUUCAGGGAAAUUUAAGUCCUAUAUAUUACUUAGGCUAUUUUUUACAAAAAAAAUCUUAGAAAACUUAAAAUAUUAUUAAGAGUAAAGACACAGAGGAGUUCCUGAUGUGGCACAGUGGAUUAAGAAUCCAACUGCAGCAGCUAGGGUCACUUCAGACACAUAGGUUGGAUCCCUGGCUGGGCACAGUGGAUUAAAGGGUCUGGUGUUUCCACACCUGCACCACAGGUCUCAGCUUCAACCUGUGGCCCAUUUGCCAUGGGUGCACGCAUUUUACAAAAAGGAAAAAAAGGAAAGAUGCAGAGGUUGGCACUAGCUAGGUUCAAAUUCCAGUUUUAUAAUAUAUGCCAGCUGUAUGACCUUGCGUAAACUGAUCUGCCCUUUUGUACUUCGGUUUCACCUAUAAAAUGGGGGUAAGAUCAGUAUUGCUUCACUGCCACAGAGUCUUACAUUGUAUGAACAUACUACAGCUUUCAAAAAAAAGGUAGGGAGUUCCCGUUGUGGCGCAGGGGAAGCGAAUCCAACUAGUAUCCAUGAGGAUUGAGGUCUGAUCCCUGCCCUCGCUCAGUGGGUCGGGGAUCUGGCGUUGCCACGAGCUGCAGUGUAGGUCACGGAUGUGGCGGGAAUCCCAUGUUGCUGUGGCUGUGGCGUAGGCUGGCAGCUACAGCUCCAAUUCAGUCCCUAGCCUGGGAACUUCCAUAUGUGGCAGGUGCAGCCCUAAAAAGAAAAAAAAAAAUUAAAAUUAAAAAAAAUUUUAAAAGGAAGAAUUAAAAAAGGAAAUGACAUCCAUGUGAAACAACACAGAUUAAUCUCACAAAACAGAGUUGAGCAAAUGAAGACAAACUACAAAGGAAAGAGGCAAGCAAUGAAGUGAUGACCAUUAAGGGUCAAGAAAAUCAUUAUCUUUAGGAGGAAGCUGUGAUCCAGAAAAGCACCCAUUAGCUUCUAGGCUCCUGGCAGUGUUGUUUCUUGACUGACUGGUGUUUGCAACAGGUGGCUGUCAUGACAAAAAUUUCUGAAUCUCUACAAUUAUAACGCCCUUUUCUUAAAACUUUGACUCCAAAAAAAGGUUUUAAAAUAAAAAAUAAUC
rnacentral:lncRNA from 1 species